rnacentral:rRNA from 1 species
AACGAACGCUGGCGGCAUGCCUAACACAUGCAAGUCGAACGAGACCUUCGGGUCUAGUGGCGCACGGGUGCGUAACGCGUGGGAACCUGCCCUUAGGUUCGGAAUAACUCCCCGAAAGGGGUGCUAAUACCGGAUAAUGUCUUCGGACCAAAGAUUUAUCGCCUUUGGAUGGGCCCGCGUUGGAUUAGCUAGUUGGCAGGGUAAAAGCCUACCAAGGCGACGAUCCAUAGCUGGUCUGAGAGGAUGAUCAGCCACACUGGGACUGAGACGCGGCCCAGACUCCUACGGGAAGCAGCAGUGGGGAAUAUUGGACAAUGGGCGAAAGCCUGAUCCAGCAAUGCCGCGUGAGUGAUGAAGGCCUUAGGGUUGUAAAGCUCUUUUACCCGGGAUGAUAAUGACAGUACCGGGAGAAUAAGCUCCGGCUAACUCCGUG